UAAGGAGAAAAAUCCCUUAUAAAGUUAUGUUUUAAAUAAUAAAAGGAAUCGUAAGAUUCCGCUCUUGGACGUUAAUAUCACGGGUAGUAAUAGUUAAGGUAAUACUUAACUAGCAUAAUACGCGUAGUCGUGACUGAAAGGUUGAUCGACCACAGUGGGACCGAAUAAAUCCCAUGACAAUUGUCUCAGCAGUGAGGAAUAUUGGUCAAUAGCCUAACGGCUGAACCAGCAACUUGGAGGAAUGUAUAGCGAAAGCUAGCUGCAUGAGCUUAGUGCAGGAUUGUUUUUUCAAAUAAAGUUCCAGGUAGGUUAUGAUGAUGACAUUUCCUAUCUGUAUGUCUUGACCAAAUUACGUGCCAGCAGUCGCGGUAAUACGUAGAAGACUAGUGUUAUUCAUCUUUAAUAGGUUUAAAGGGUACCUAGACGGUAAAUCAAGUCCAAGAAGGAUACUAAUUUGACUAGAGUUAAAUGUGAGGGGGCUAUAAAGUACUGAUUAGUGUAGAGAUGAAAUUCUGUCAUACAAUGUAAGGCACAGGCAAAGGCGAAGGCAUCUCCUUAUGUAAUAACUGACGUUGAGGGACGAAGGCUAUGUAUAGCAAAAAGGAUUAGAUACCCAAGUAGUCGUAGCAGUAAAUUAUGAAUGUCAUAGGAUGGAAACUUUACUUUUCCUUCAUCUAUUUGCUUUUUUUUGACUUUUUUUUGAGUUAGCAAUAGGUAGACGGAUGAAAUUAAUUUAAAGUAACUUUUUUUUCUAUAAAUGAUAGUGUAAGCAUUCCACCUCAUGAGUAAUAUGGCAACGUUGGAAUUGAAAUCAUUAGACCGUUUCUGAAACAAGUAGUGAAGUAUGUUGUUUAAUUUGAUAAUCCGCAAAAUACCUUACCACAGUUUGAAUAGAAACUUUUUUUAUACAAGUGCUGCACGGUUGUCUUCAGUUAAUGUCGUGAGAUCUUGGUUAGUUCCAUUAAAUUAACGUAAACCCUAGCUUUAUUUUUAUAUAGAGCUGUUCCCCACUAGAUUGGAUAAGAUAACAGGGA
rnacentral:rRNA from 1 species